GAUGAACGCUAGCGACAGGCUUAACACAUGCAAGUCGAGGGGUAACAGGGUAGCAAUACCGCUGACGACCGGCGCACGGGUGAGUAACGCGUAUGCAACCUGCCUAUAACUGGGGAAUAGCUCCCUGAAAGGGGAAUUAACACCGCAUAACACUAUUGAUUCGCAUGGAUUGGUAGUUAAAUGUAGCGAUACAGGUUAUAGAUGGGCAUGCGUGACAUUAGCUAGUUGGUGAGGUAACGGCUCACCAAGGCUACGAUGUCUAGGGGUUCUGAGAGGAAGGUCCCCCACACUGGUACUGAGACACGGUCCAGACACCUACGGGUGGCAGCAGUAGGGAAUAUUGGGCAAUGGGCGAAAGCCUGACCCAGCCAUGCCGCGUGAGUGAUGAAGGUCCUAGAGAUUGUAAAACUCUUUUCUGAGGAAAGAAUAAAUAGGGAAGGAAAUGUCCUUAUUUUGACGGUACCUCAGGAAUAAGGAACGGCUAACUCCGUGCCAGCAGCCGAC
rnacentral:rRNA from 1 species